rnacentral:rRNA from 1 species
AUGAACGCUAGCUACAGGCUUAACACAUGCAAGUCGAGGGGCAGCGGGAUUGAAGCUUGCUUCAAUUGCCGGCGACCGGCGCACGGGUGAGUAACGCGUAUCCAACCUUCCGUACACUCAGGGAUAGCCUUUCGAAAGAAAGAUUAAUACCUGAUAGUAUCUUAAGCACACAUGUAAUUAAGAUUAAAGAUUUAUCGGUGUACGAUGGGGAUGCGUUCCAUUAGGUAGUAGGCGGGGUAACGGCCCACCUAGCCAACGAUGGAUAGGGGUUCUGAGAGGAAGGUCCCCCACAUUGGAACUGAGACACGGUCCAAACUCCUACGGGAGGCAGCAGUGAGGAAUAUUGGUCAAUGGACGAGAGUCUGAACCAGCCAAGUAGCGUGAAGGAUGAAGGUCCUACGGACUGUAAACUUCUUUUAUAAGGGAAUAAACCCUCCCACGUGUGGGAGCUUGUAUGUACCUUAUGAAUAAGCAUCGGCUAACUCCGUGCCAGCAGCCGCGGUAAUACGGAGGAUGCGAGCGUUAUCCGGAUUUAUUGGGUUUAAAGGGAGCGCAGACGGGUCGUUAAGUCAGCUGUGAAAGUUUGGGGCUCAACCUUAAAAUUGCAGUUGAUACUGGCGUCCUUGAGUGCGGUUGAGGUGUGCGGAAUUCGUGGUGUAGCGGUGAAAUGCUUAGAUAUCACGAAGAACUCCGAUUGCGAAGGCAGCACACUAAUCCGUAACUGACGUUCAUGCUCGAAAGUGUGGGUAUCAAACAGGAUUAGAUACCCUGGUAGUCCACACGGUAAACGAUGGAUACUCGCUGUUGGCGAUAUACUGUCAGCGGCUUAGCGAAAGCGUUAAGUAUCCCACCUGGGGAGUACGCCGGCAACGGUGCAACUCAAAUGAAUUGACGG